AAGCUGCCUCGAUCCUUCUCCUUGACGCCUCCCUAGCCGCAUAUAAAACUGAACUAGAACCAUUGCCAACAUCCUGACUUUUCAGUACAGAAGCAGGGGUGGCACUCCCGAAGUUGUUCACAAUAUUAGGAAAAAAGCCGGCUUGGGUUUGAGAAGGGUUACUCACACCAAAUGCUAUCAUUGCCUCAUCCGCCAUCAAUUUAGCUUGCAAUGCAGCAUUUGAUGCAAGCUUAGCAGCCGCAGCUGCGGCCUUUGCAACAGAGGUAGCAGCUGCUACAGCAACGGCAGCAGAUGUUAGCUUAACCUCAACAUCUGAUGCCAAGCCAGAGUUCUUGUGCUUGUCUAACUGGCUCCACACAUCUUGGCAAUGACUGACUGCAGCAGUAGCAUUUGCAGCAGCCUCCUCUGCCUGCAGCUUAGCCUCCUCAACUUUGCUCAAGUAUUCCAAAGUUGGAGUCUUUUUUCCUAAAUCAAGCACUCUCUUAGAAAGCUCAGUGGAAGAUGGGGCGGAGGCGAUUGGUAUAUCAGAGUUGUUUUUAGGUACAGAGCUAGAAGGUGGUUCAAUGACAACUGAUGUAGAAAAAUGGCCCCCAAUUAUGGGAACAGAUGUAGGUCCUGUCUGGCUAUGAGCAACCAACGGUGCAACAGCAACUGACGAUAACAGGCCAAAGUCAUCAGAUGCAGGAGCCUUAUUUGAUAACUGAGUACAAAUGACAGGGGUAGUAAUUGAUUCAGAAGAAGUGCCAAUCUUAGAUUUUUGGGUACGAUCAUCGGUACCAGAUGCCUUUUUUCUCUUUCUAGAUUUCUGAUCAGCUGAAAACUGAGCAGGCAACACUGGGGUCUUCGUGUUGUCAUGUGGAAAAGCUCCAGACUGGAUACCACUAUCCCCAGCAUGAGCCACCGAACCAGGCGGUGCAUGCUUUGCACUAGCUGUGGACAAGGAUGACUCCUUUACAGGGGUUAAUUUCACGGACUCUGUGACAGGUAAUGCAGGAAGCUGUGCACUAGUAUCAAAUGGAGAAUUUUGUGGAGAAGCAACCCAGGGACCAGGAAAAGGGGCUGGUGGUAGCCAAGAUGCAGUGUGCCCAACAAAAUUUCGUGCUGGGGGAGUCUGAUAGGGAUGCAUAGAAGGAAGUGCCUUAUAAUCAAUCAGGGCUCCUCUAGCGGACGAUAACACAUCACGGGAAGGGGUAGCCAUAUUCCAAAGAGGGGACGAAAGUGGUAUCAUAGGACUAACAGCAAGAGAAUUGGAAGACUUGCCGCCUGCUCGCCCAGCUGUCGAAGUAGUAACCUUAUCCUGAUGCACGACCUGUUUGUUUGCUUGAUCUGGAGUUCUGGGACCUGAUCGUGAAUGAGAUGGCGUUUCAUUGUUUCCAGCACGAGAUCUCUGUCCAUGAAUCCUUUCAACACAAGCACGCCAUGCAGGGUCCCAGAGACUUCUGCAUCCAUCAGAUGUCCCAAAAGCUGAAACCAUACAAGCUUCUUCUGGUGAUGUACCUUGUAUCAGAGAUCCAUAAACAAAAAUUUGAGCUCGCAGUUGCACUUGUUGUAGAUCUGUGAAAGGCUGAUGAAACAAUACGGAUGCAGAAGUAGUGUUUAAAUCAGGUAAACUUGAAGUUGGAAAGGAAACAACCCCGCUGGACUUUGUAAUAUUGCGCUCAAUAGUUCCAGUUCCAGUUUCAAAUUGAAUUUUUUGCACAGCCACAGAGGGGCUAAACUGAACACAAGAUUUGUCUCCUCUAUCCGACUGCUUCGAUGAGUUUAUCGCCUUCGAUUGCCUUCCCUUUCUAGGGUUUUCUUUACCUGAUUUCCCUGAGCCACGGCUUGCCUUGCGAUCACCCUUAGCACCCCCAGACGGAGUCCCUUCAUCAGGUACCAGUGGACUUCCAUGAGAAAUUUUUUGCAUGAUCUCAGUAUCAGUUUGCUUGCUGCCAGAUGUCAAAUGCAGUCUAUCCUCAGCCUUCAACUCGGUUGGUUGGCAAGCUUGACUACUGAUGAUUGAUUUGUCAGCUUCUCCCUUGGCACUACCAGCAGCCAAUGGACUCACAUCAAAAGUAAAGCUCCUAUCUGUUUUAGUGGAAGCUUUUUCUCCUGAAUUUAUGGAGGUGGACAGCGCUUCACCACCAAUUUCAGUUGUAUCUACAAGGGGAGCAACCUUCUCAACUACAGCUCUACUUCUACUCGGGGUUUUUUUCUUUUCACUUGGUGAAAGUGCAGUAUAACUUGGGACGGAAGCGGAAUCAUGUUUAAGUCCACCAAUAACAUCAGAACUUCCCUCAACUCCAACUUCUCCGAAUUUCACUGUUUCUA
rnacentral:misc_RNA from 1 species